rnacentral:rRNA from 1 species
CCUGGCUCACGGUCGAACGCUGGCGGCGCGCCUAACACAUGCAAGUCGAACGAGCGAGAGAGAGCUUGCUUUCUUGAGCGAGUGGCGAACGGGUGAGUAACGCGUGAGGAACCUGCCUCAAAGAGGGGGACAACAGUUGGAAACGACUGCUAAUACCGCAUAAGCCCACAGCUCGGCAUCGAGCAGAGGGAAAAGGAGCAAUCCGCUUUGAGAUGGCCUCGCGUCCGAUUAGCUAGUUGGUGAGGUAACGGCCCACCAAGGCGACGAUCGGUAGCCGGACUGAGAGGUUGAACGGCCACAUUGGGACUGAGACACGGCCCAGACUCCUACGGGAGGCAGCAGUGGGGAAUAUUGCACAAUGGGGGAAACCCUGAUGCAGCGACGCCGCGUGGAGGAAGAAGGUCUUCGGAUUGUAAACUCCUGUUGUUGAGGAAGAUAAUGACGGUACUCAACAAGGAAGUGACGGCUAACUACGUGCCAGCAGCCGCGGUAAAACGUAGGUCACAAGCGUUGUCCGGAAUUACUGGGUGUAAAGGGAGCGCAGGCGGGAGAACAAGUUGGAAGUGAAAUCCAUGGGCUCAACCCAUGAACUGCUUUCAAAACUGUUUUUCUUGAGUAGUGCAGAGGUAGGCGGAAUUCCCGGUGUAGCGGUGGAAUGCGUAGAUAUCGGGAGGAACACCAGUGGCGAAGGCGGCCUACUGGGCACCAACUGACGCUGAGGCUCGAAAGUGUGGGUAGCAAACAGGAUUAGAUACCCUGGUAGUCCACACCGUAAACGAUGAUUACUAGGUGUUGGAGGAUUGACCCCUUCAGUGCCGCAGUUAACACAAUAAGUAAUCCACCUGGGGAGUACGACCGCAAGGUUGAAACUCAAAGGAAUUGACGGGGGCCCGCACAAGCAGUGGAGUAUGUGGUUUAAUUCGACGCAACGCGAAGAACCUUACCAAGUCUUGACAUCCCUUGACGAACAUAGAAAUAUGUUUUCUCUUCGGAGCAAGGAGACAGGUGGUGCAUGGUUGUCGUCAGCUCGUGUCGUGAGAUGUUGGGUUAAGUCCCGCAACGAGCGCAACCCUUAUGGUCAGUUACUACGCAAGAGGACUCUGGCCAGACUGCCGUUGACAAAACGGAGGAAGGUGGGGAUGACGUCAAAUCAUCAUGCCCUUUAUGACUUGGGCUACACACGUACUACAAUGGCGUUAAACAAAGAGAAGCAAGACCGCGAGGUGGAGCAAAACUCAGAAACAACGUCCCAGUUCGGACUGCAGGCUGCAACUCGCCUGCACGAAGUCGGAAUUGCUAGUAAUCGUGGAUCAGCAUGCCACGGUGAAUACGUUCCCGGGCCUUGUACACACCGCCCG